GUCCCACUGCAGCUCCUAUGGCUGCUGUCCCCAUCUGCAGCACCAGCGGCCGUGGCACUUCCAAAUAAAGUCUGUUGUUCUUUUUCUCACUCCAGAUUAUUAAAGCUCUAAGAAUGCCUUUUUGCUGUCUUAGCAAGAGCUCUACAUUUACCCUUAAAGGAGAUGUUUAUAACAUCUAAGCAAUGUUAAAGCCCAAAGAAGGAAAAUAAAGGAAUAUCCAGAAUGGGAAGAAGCUGAGCUGUAAAAGGAUUAGAAACCAGUUUUCUUCAAACAUUUUGUAGGGAAAAAAAAAAACCCCAACCACAAAACACACCACUUUGGAAACAAUUAUUUACAAAGUUCAAAGUAUUUGACACUGUUUGCUUUGGUACGAUAAGGGGCAACAACAUCCCUAAUCACAGGGGCUUACCCAAACUACUUCUGACAGCAGAAGUAAUUUCACCAGAAGUAUAUUUCUUCUAGGAAGGAUACUUUGCUUGCUUAAAAAUCAUUCUUACAUUGCUGAUAAGUCUCUUACCAGUAGAUUAUAAGUGCCUCUUAAGUCAGGAAUAUGUUCCAUGCCCUGAGCGCAGCCAGCAGCCCUUCUCUGAAUAAAUGCUAUUGAAGUCGGUGCGAAUUUUGCCUGAGGAGGUUCACUGCAGGUGUUUGGUUCUGUGUGCGUAACGUGCCUCGAUACAGAAACUCCUACUCACUAUUGUACAGUGCCAGUCUUCAGAACCAUGAUGCAGUGCUAUUCUGACCUUUUCACCUUCCUUGCGUGUAGAAAUGAGGGACACUCAAGGUAAAAGCUGGUUGGGCUCCGAGCACCUGAAUGAGCUGCAGGUGUCUCUGCUUACUGCAGGGGAGUUGGAGUGAUGGCUUUUAAGGGUCACUUCCAACUCAAACGAUUCUAUGAUUUUCAGUACUUCAUGACCAGGGAGCAGAGGUCCCUGCUGCACAGGAUGGGUAAGGCCACUGACCUGAGUUCUUGGGACAGCGGAGGGCACAUUUCUAUUAGAAACAUCCUAAACCUGCUGAGCCAGGUAAGUGUUUAGGACAAUAGGAGGUUGGAAGAAUUUACCUUCAGUAAAGAGGCGAUGGAAUAGGUCUGAUGGCACUGGGAAGGGUGAGGGGAGAGAAAAUGAUGUGAGAGCCUGCGAGAAAUACAGCCUGUGUGGAACAAGAAGAUGCGUGCAAGGAGAUUGGUGCCAGUAGACCUAAGCAGAUGUGGAUUUAGCAGAAAAAGUGGGAGGCGGGGAGCCUGGGCCAGCCUUCAGCAUGCCCCCACGAGGUGCAGCUGAGAUGCACAGCCUUUAUUCCACAUCUGGAUCAAAGCCAGGGCACUCCUGGGAGCAGCUUCUGCCGCUCACCGGAGGCAAACACGGCUGCUCUGUGCUGCAGGGUGCAUCAGAGACAACUUGUCUCAGAAUGCUUCCUGGAAACCAGCGCCCUAUCUUAAUUCUAUCACAGAGAUGCUCACUUGUGCAUAAUAAUAGCAAUAAUAAUAAUAAUAAUAAUAAUAAUAAUAAUAAUAAUGAAAGAGGACCAGCUUCUAGAUGCUGUUGUUCUGCACAGCUCAGGAUGAGAUGUAAUGUAGGAUGAGAGGCAGUGCCCUCAAGUUGCAAUGGGGGAGGUGCAGGUUGGAUAUUAGGAAAAAUUUCUUCUCCAAAAGAGUGGUGAGGCAUUGAAAUGGGCUGCCCAGGGAGGUGGGGGAGUCACCAUCCCUGGAGGUGAAAAUGGAGAUGUGGCACUGAGGAACACGGUUAUGGGCAUGGUGGGGAUGAGCUGACAGCUGGACUCAAUGAGCUCAGAGGUCUUUUCCAACCUUAAUGAUUCCGUGAAUCUGAUUUGUGCAUGGGUGGGUCACAGAAGAGCGGAGAUUGGAGGUGCAUACGGCCAGUCAGGCUAUUGUGAAGCAUCUGACAAAUGUACAGAUCUAACUCCCGCACCUUGAACAGAGGCUAAGGAAGUUCUUAAAUCAAACCAGCUAUUUUACUUCCUCGCUGUCCUCAAUGUUUUGUUGCAAAGGCUUUGUGGCAACUCAUGUCAAAGACCCAAGUAAAUGUUUUCUUGAGCUGUGUAGAAGAUGAUGUCAGGCAGUGAUGGAAGUGAAAUACUGACUUGGUACAACUGUUUGUGCCUCAGAUAGAAUUGACUCAUUUUGUGAGAUUAUAGAAAAUGUAUUCCGUGAUUAUAUAUGCCCCUAGAGGCCUUCUGGAGGUGAGAUUAUGCAUCUCACAGUGUUAUUCUAUCAGAAAAAAAAUGGACUAAGUAAAUAAAAAAUCUGCAGGGUGUGACUUCAUCAUGCACUGUUGACAUCUGCUUAUAUGAUUUAAAGGACGUUACUAUGAAUACCAUACUCGCUAAUGUAAAUGAUGAAGAAAUCGUAGGUCAAUCAUAUAAUAAUAAAUAUUAGCAUAGGUUUCCCAAGGCCAGAAAUGGCUGAAAUGGUAAUUGGGACUACGAUUUUACUCUUGAAUUAUGUGAUACUGAAAACGCUUUGGUCGCUGCCGCUUUCCUGGAACCGCUCCAUUAAGGCCAGACAGAUGCACUGUCCAACCUUUCUUAUUCCAAGAAGUAAAGUCACUUUUCCAUAGGGAUGAUUUUCCUCUCACCAUCCCACCCUGCAUGAAGCUGGGAUGUUGGGGAUGCAGAGCUGCACGCCCCGAUCCCAUCCAUUUGCUGCUCUGGGCUUGAGGCAGGCAUCCAACUCUGUCCUCAACAGCGAACUCUUCCCGCUUAAACACCCAAACAAAGCGCUCUCAAAGUGCAUUAAUGCAAUAGCCACUAUGUUAACUUCGAUGAAAGACUGGUCUGAGCAGUACAGUUUGAAUUGACAAAACACCUGAAACUCACGGCGCUAUUUAUGACACCACUGAAUUAGCGUGGACAUACAGCCGACACAAAACGCCGUGGCUGCAGCUUUAGCGUAAUUCAUUUAGCAAUUGUCUGGAAACACCUUGAGCUGCAGAGCGUGGCCCCCCAGAGGUGUUCUUGCUCCCCAAAGCCCAGAGUAAAGCCAAAGGCUCAGCCGCAGGUGGGAGCGGCUGGUUGGAAGCGAUGCUGCCUGGAGCCCUGUGGGCAGGCAGGGACCUCCCCUCUGCUGCCAAAAAUCUGUGCCUGCCAACAUUUGGCUGCUCAGUGGGUGAGGGCUCAGGGUUGAAGCCCUCACAGUCCUCCUUCACCUUCCCAGCAUCCCCAGCCCUCCCCACCUGAGGCCAUGUGAGUUUGUCCCAGAGAGGCCUGAAAGCCAGAAGCUGCUACAAGAAAAUAUUUUAAGUAAUAGCAGUUGUUGGGCAAUUACUGUAUUACCUGGGGAUUCCUGCCAGGCACUGCACAUGGUGGGAUGUGGAAAUGAUGCUAAAUCAUAUUUUACGGGGGAAAAAUAAAAAUACAACGCAAUCCCGUAAUGCUAUCUGAGCAUUGCUGUGCUGUGUUCCUCUAAUGCCUGCAACUCCUUAAUGACAGUUCUCAUAGCAGUCGUGUUCUAGCUGCUGUCUGAUGCCGAAACACUCUGUAGAAAGAAAUUCGGAUACUCUGUAUUUGAGAGCAGUUACAAGAAAGUCUAAAAUUAGGUCAUAAAUUAUAUAACCUUGCAAGGAAACAAGAAAUUUAAUGACUAUGCCAAACCAGAGAUAAAAGCCGAGGAAGGAAAUAGCAUCUUCCUCAUUAAAUAUUAAGGAUCAGAUCCUUCAAACAUUUUCCAGUGAUGAACUCUGUGGGAGUUUGGCAUCUGUAUUUCUGUGUAUUCUAUAGAAGAUGCUUAUACAUCAUAUACAAGUGCUAAAUGUGAUUUAUGGGGCAUACGCACAGGAAGUGUAUUUAUAAUGCAUAAAUAUAUUCCAUCAAGAGCAGGGAAGGUGAUCAGUGACAGUUCUUUAAGAGGUUCAAUCAGAUACCGCGGUGGCUUAUUUCUAGUGCUGCUCCAAAGGGGUUUUUAAUUACGAGGAGCAGGUAGGGGCAUUCCUUUCUGGUGCUGACGGAGGCAGCAGAUAGCACAGAUGCGGAGAUGAGCCCGGUGCCUUCUCAGUGGGAUUCAAGAAGUGCUGUACAAGAACAAAGAUUACUGGCUUCUAACAGAGGAUUUGAGAAUUCCCUGCGACGCUUGAUUCCCUCCUUCAUUUUCGACAGUGCCAUUAGUCCUUUUUCCAGCCUCACACAAGAUUUGAUCUAUUUAAAACGACACAAGGGUGAGACCUCACACACAUUCCCCUAGAUGUCCUACAUGAUUCCCCCGGACCAGCGGUCCAUGCUGAUGCCCUGAGUGCGUUCAUGAGACGAGUGACCUAGUUCCAGUACUGUCUGCGAUACUUGAAUGAGAAACUAAAGCUUGGGGGUAGAUCUUCAGCAGGAGUAACUCACCCUGCUCACUGUACAACACAUCGUGGGCACAAAGCGUCUUCCAGGGAAUACGCAGCACUCAGAAAGGUUCAUUCCUCAGCCUGAACAAAGUGAGGAAGAAAGAUGCCUUGCAACAUCAGCAAACAGGGCACAUUUCCCUCUACAGGAUGGGAGCUGGUCAACUCCAUAUUCCUCAGAAGUUUGAGAUCAGGUUCUUCACGUGCCUAAUUUGGACUUAAUUCAAGGCUGGGAUAAAUCAUUACAACUCAGAUGAAGUCAGUAAGAGCACAGCGACUUACAUCAGCUCUGUGUCAGUAAAUACUGACAAAAUUGAUCUCAAACUUUUUCAGAACAAAAGAUUUUUGAAGAUGGAUUAAACAACAUAAAUGCUGAGCUGUUUUGCUAGACUGCAAAUGGCAUAACACAUGCUUUGUGUGACAUCUCUGAAUUAUUCCUUCGUGGCAAUGUUGACAUUAUAUGGUAUUGACUCAUGGAAGAAGCUUAAAUACCCUUUUAAGUUUUCAAGACUCUUUGACAAAGCACUAUUUCAUUAACAAAAUGUUAAUGGAAUCUGUGAAGCCUGAAUAUACAGCAUAGCCUGCUGGUUUCAAGAAGCUGCAUUCACUGACCUAGAGGAGUGACUGCCAUAGAGCACUACAACCUCUAUUUUUAGAAUGCACCUUGUGCAGGACACCCAUGGGCUGAGUAAGGAGAACGUGAGCUUCCGUUACUUCCCCCAUCGAACAGGAUUAUCACACCUUCUGCUGGAGAAGGUCAAAACAGCACUGACAUGGGAAAUGGAUAAUAUAAGGUAAAGCAGGAGGGACAGCAGGGUUGGCAUUGACUUGAAGCUAAGGCUUCUUGCUUGGGACAAGGAGGAAGACCUAGAGAGCACCACUUUGCAUAAUGCAUACUCUGAAGUCAUCUUUGGGAAAGGAGCAGUGAUGUGCCUACAGCUAAAGCUGUUGGCCCUUAGUACUCUGCUGACCCUCAAAUAACUACAGGUUUUUCUAUCUGACAUGCCUAUUGCUCAAAACAGAUCCCAGUUUCCACAUUCUUGAUCCAAUCCAAAGCAGGAACCCAAGAGUGAGACCAGGGCAGACCAAGGCAACACCCAAAUGCUGCACUGCUGCAUGUUUGAAGGAGGUUGGCCCUUCCCUGGUUUUCUACAAGAGGGCAAUAAAUGCAACAAAACUCAACCCUGGAAAAACAGCAGCUUUUUUCAGACAUGUUUUCCAAUGGAGGAACAGAUUUUUUAUCAUCAGCCACCCACAACAUUUUUUUUUUUUUGAAUCAAUAAACUUGUAACUGUUUAUAAUACAUGGUGCUGGUGACUGUGACAUGCUCACAAUGCAUAUUCAACUUUUAACUCUGUGAAUUUAUCACUUGUAAGUUCUUUGCAUGAACAGCGACAGAGCUUUUCAAUGGCAAAAUUCACCCACACGCUGAAAAGUCAACUUCCUAAAGCCAAUCAUGUCUGCUGUUUUCUGUGUCUGUUACUACUUUACAUAACGUGUUGUUAUGAACAGAUGAGACCAGAAUGGAGGGACAUGGAAAUACUAAACGUCCGUCCGCUCACUGUCUUCUGCAUUGGGUGGCAUUUGGUGUGCCAUCAGAAUCUACAUUUCCUCCUGAACAGUCCAUUUUUCACAUGGAUUUGCGUAAGGUAACCAGGGGAAGAAAAUCACAAGUUAGAAAUUUAAUGAGAAAAACAGCACAUAAACACAAAAAUUGACUGAGGUACCCAAGGGCCACCUUGCAGCCUCAAACUGUGCUUGCACACAAGUCGUCUUUCCAAAUGCCUUGCUCACAAGCACAGAGCAGAGGAAGGCUGCACCACCUGGAGCAUGCUCAGCUGCAUUGCACUGACCCAAGGGAGCACUGCCAGUCCCUGCAAACAGGAUUAGUUCAAGCACAAGGCAAUUCCAACUUUCAGUUCACCACCACUAAAUAGAGGAUAAACUUGCCUGCAGCACAGCAGCACAGACAAAGCAGCACUGUAGACUGUCCUGCAAACGUGGCCGUUAGAGGACAAUCAGCUGGGAGACAUUCCUCAAGAUUUCAGUGCAAUUGUGUUAGAAAUAAAAGACAGAAGCUCUUCAAAAAUAAGCAAAUAAAGUCCUGAAUGGUUGCUACAGUAAUGAUGGACAUGCCAGAAUCAGCCCAGUUUAAUCUCAGCACAAAAUGAAUGCGGCACGUGAGCAGAGAAUCCAGGUGAGCUUUCAGGGCUUGGUAUUCCUACAUGUAUGGAAAUACAAUAACCUAAUAAAAGCAAAAGGAAGAUCACACAGACCAUCUCUCAAAGGUUUCGUGGAGAAUAUUGUAACUUUUGGUAUAUAACAGAGUAAAGGACAUACAGAAGAAUCAAAAUUCAAGGGAAUUGCAGAAAGAAGGAUUUUUCCAUCUUGACAGCAAAGUAUUGCACUCUGUUAAGAACAAAGUUCAGUGUGAUCUCGCUGGGGCCACAAAUGUUCCAGAUGAAUUAACAGAAGUCCAUUGAUCUGCAGGACCAAGCAGGAUGUAUACUGGCUGAAGAUCUGCCCCAUGAGGCUUGUAUCCCACUGCCAAGAAGCCAUCUCCCACCCUACAGAUAGCAUUGGUCAAAACCCGCUGUGAAUAACCACUUUAUAAUGCAAGACACUUACUAUGCAGUGGGUCACUGGUAGCAGAGUUGAAAAAGGGACAUUCAGAUCUGCAAUCACAAGCCUCUAUAGUCAGCACUAAAAAAAUUAGCUCUGUCUCAAAGGCUCUUGUAGACCCAGGAGGAUUAACACCAGUAUUCAAAGAACAGAAUGCUGCGGUAGGUUAGCAAGGGUUAAGGAAAACCAAAGACCUUGAUAUCUUGCAAAUCUACAUGCAUACUGCACAAAAGUUUUCCCCCUCUCAUACUCAAGAUUGCAUUUGUCACACUUUUAGAAAAACCUUUAAUGGAAAUCUCAGAUAUGCUCUGAUAAAGCCAUAAAUAGAAACAACAAGCUCAGGGAAAACAUGCAUCCCAUACUGACCAUCAUUUUCCAUUUUCCUGCUUUUGAGCAAGACUGCAACAGUGCAAAGACCCAAGGACAACUGGAAGACAGAAGCUCACCAGAACAGGCAUCUCUCCUUUAGAUCUCCACUUCCCUACAGUUACAUAGGUUUCUAGUGCUCUGACAACUCAGUAUAGUUACAGCCACAUUUUAACUCAGCUGCCAUGCUCACACCACCACCAGACACACCUCCCACCAGCUGCUCUUCAAUGAGGGCACUUAUUACUCCAGGAGAAAAUCACCUGUGUAGUAUCAGACUGCUGUUUUUCUUGAGGUAAGAGGUUAUUCACAGACCUGCAAUAAAAUUACAGGAACCAGCUUUCUUCUUUUUAGUCUCUGGAUAGGUCUUUUAGUCAAAAAAAAUUAAAGAACCAAGAAAAGUUGAAUAAAAGGUGAUAAAGCCAACACAGAGACCUUCCAAAUGUAAAUACUUGUCACUCUCAGCAUAAUAUGCAACCUUCUAUACACAGUUACAUUUCAGGCAUGUUUAAGUAUCCUUGAGAAAUGACUUUAUGCUGUUAUUAUUCCUCAAGAGCUUCAGAUGAGCUUGGAUCCAUCUCUAUUCAUCAUGUCAGCCACUCUACAGAUAGCUACACACACUUUGCCUGCUCAGUUUUAUUAAACAGCUAACCCUAAGUUUUAUUAAUUCUCACUGAUCUGCAUAAAUUACAAAGCUCUGUGCUUAUUUAUGUAUCAUAUGCUGACUUCGAUCCAUAUUAAAAUCAAGCAGUGCAUUAGGCCUAAUGGAGCUGGUUCUUCCAUAAGAAGGGCACUCCAAGUCUUGCAUUGCUGUUUGUAACUUGUAUUUCCCCAUUGUUUCUAUGUGCUAGAACUAGUGCUUAACUUCAAGAAGACAUAUCUUUUUGUUGUUGAUAACCGCCUUCCCAAGGACAAAACAAUUGAUUUAUAUGGUAGGUCUUUUACUUUUUGCAUGUUGACUCAUCUGGGUUCACUUCAAACCUUUUGUUCCUCAACAGUUUUACAUCUGUGGGGUUAGUAAACUUCUCUUAAUCAGGGAUAGAGAAAUAUUCUGAAAAUCUGGACUUCAAGCCUGAUCUGUAGGAUUAUAGGUUAGUUGGACUUGAUGAUCGUUAAGAUCUUUUCCAACCUGAGCAAUUCUAUGAUUUUAUGAUUAUAGGUUGAAUAGAGGACGGAUGGAGCUGUGGGACAUUUGAUAUCAGCAGAAGACUUUCAUGCAGCAGUCAGCAGACACACCCCAGCACACAUGCAUGCAUGCAGCAGACCUAGCAUGAGAAUCCCAAAAAUAAUUGCAGCUGUAUUCCUCUUCUCAACCUGAGAAAAGUGACCUUAACAAGGCUAUCAUGGAGCUCUCCUGAGGGUGCUUUACACAGUGGAAGGGAACAUGGCUGUGGACUUGUGUGCCUGGAAGCACAAGGGAGAUGUGCAGGAGCCAGCCAUGAUCACUGUAGUGAUGGUGCCCAGUGUAGUAAGAUAUCCAAACUCUUUAAUAAGGCUUUCAGUAGCACAUUCCUUUGAAGUCCUUCAGAGCAUGACAGCAAUUAACUGAAGACUCAUCUUCCCUCAUGUUGUUUUAUCCACUCUCACUCGAGAUCAACACUUCCUCUGAUGGUAGUGCAAAUUCACACCCCCCAGCUACAAGGAGCUUGCAAAACGACCCGGUUACAAUUACAGACACAAUGAGCAGUACCUUCGGUGUUUCUGGGCUCAUUCUGAUUGUUUCUCAUGGCCUCCAUUUUGCAGAUGUAAGACAGUAGGGCAAUCCACCACUGAGUGCAUCCAGCUAAAAAAACUAGCUGCAAUAGGAUUUUCUCCACCUUGAGAGAAAUAAGGAGACAGCGAGCAGCAGAUAGGCAACAGGGAAGCAUUAAUCCAAAAGUGCUCUUGGAAGAAAGUUUUUCAAGGUUUUCUGUUUACUUGUUCCUGUUGUGGUUUUUUUUGUCGUUUGUUUUGGGUUUUUUUGGUUGUUUUUUGUUUGUUUGUUUUGGGUAUUGUUUUGAAAGUGAGCAAGGAUGAGGAUAAAAGAGAACUAAUUCCUCACUAAAGGGCCUCCUACAGCCCAAGCAUGGCGGCCUGCUGGCUGCGGCACAGCGCCGUAACCUCUGCACGCAGCCACUUGAACAGGGUUCAAGGCAAUGACUUCACAUGGAGGCAGAGUGCGAAUGGCUUUAAACCACCGAAGCAGUGAUAUAAAAUUGCGGUGUGGCAGCAGGGGGGGCCCUGCAGCCUCACAGCGGGGAGAAGGGGUCUGGGAACAGCCCUCCACAGGGGCAGGCAGAUGUCAGAGGGAAAACAAAAGAGGAUCCGAAGCCUUCUCCUCUGAGCAUCACCUGCAUCCACACAUCGCUCUGUCGGCCACCUCCAGAGCCCUGAGGGCGCAGCAGUUCACCCCUCAGAAGUGAAAAGGAAGGGAUAAAGAGCAGCAACCCGGAAUUUCUGUUCUGUGAGAAAUUCCUGUAUUCCGACAGUCUCUUUGUGCAGGAGGGAAAUGGGAUCUUAAAGGGUUCUUGUAAAACUGAAGUGGUGAGGACACGUUAUCAAAAUGUUCCAUUUUAAUGACGCGCUGUGUUGUAGUCUGAGGGCAUUAAAACAAUCCAAACGUAACAAAACAUAAAGCAAAGCAUGUAACAAACAUGAGAACCACGCCACAAACGCAAAGUAGGAGCCUGAGCAAAUUAAAACAUAUCAGCAUCCUCAAAACCAAACAGUUCAGCAUUACACCAGCAAGGAUGAAAGUCAAAUGAGUCGCUGGAACGCGCUGUGUCUUAAAGUGGAGCGACCAACAGUAUUCCUACGGAAAACUCCAUUUCCAUUCACACUGCACUGAGCUGUUUGAACAUGUUGUGACUGCCAGCACUCAGGAUAUUGCUGCCACCACGACCUCCCCUGCCAAGGUGAUGCAGCGAGCAGCACAGCGCUACUCCUCCUGACGGAAGGAAACCCUAAGAUCUAUAUUUUCUAUAAAAUUGCCUUAUUUCUCAGCCAAGAUACUAUAAGCAGAGGUAAAGCGAAGCUAUUGCUACUGAGACCUCCUUACUGUAAGAAAACAUACCGCAGUGCAUUUACUGAUAUGCUAUGAAAUCACAUAAAUCAUUCUGACAACAUGAUACUUGUCAAAAUAAAGGCAUAAAAUAUGGUUUGAAAUAAAAUAUCCUCAGUCCUGUUUAUUCAUUUGCUUACUCAUGCUGUUUGGCUUUUCUCAAUGGGUUCCCCAAUCGUUGGGGUGAAUUAGUGAGGUUCUGCUGGAAAUACCAAACCACGUGCAUAUUCACAGUCUUAUACACGCUGAAUAUCUGCAUAUAGCUCUGUACAGUCAUUCAACUGAACUGAAAAUAAAGCAUUCAAAGGACACUUUUCCUGUAAUAUUUUUUUCUCUUCCAGUAUUUUUCCCCUCCCCCCUCAAUAUUUCACUAGUGCUUAACGGUGGCAUGGUUUAAGGGAGUCCUGCAUGGAAAGCUCCUUCAGCUGCUUAGCCCAACAGCAUAAAUUUGAUCUCGUAAUUAGUAUUCAGCUCAGCAUCUUGGAUAGAAACCAAUGUUACAGCCAAGAGGUGGUUUAAAUCACAUAAAUCAUAGAUCAAUGACAGAACUCUAAGCACUGGAUAGAUUACAAAAGUAAGCUUUAGUUAAAAAUAGAUUAACCAUUUCCCUGCAGGAAUUCCUUCAAAAAAGCCCUGAAUAUAAAACAAAUAAAAUUAAAUCUGAUAAUUUUUUUCUAAUGUAUGCAUAUACUAGAUGAAUUGUUCUUUCCCUUGACAGUUACACACUGAUUAAAGAAAUGUGUUAACAUGCUAUUUCAAUGGAAAAUAUUGUAAGUUGUGGAGACUUUAAUUUUUUUAAUGAGGUUUUAAUAGCCAGAAAGAACAUACCAGAAAUGUUGUGCACAGCUAGGUUGGUAGCAAACGUCACAGCAGCUAGCAGAUACUUCUUCAGUUGCUAUUUUUAUAGAAAGGGGUAAAAAUCCUUCUUACGCAAAGAAAAAUGUUUUUGAGAGGUGUUUUUAAAGUGUUUUAUGUUUUUAAUUUUAGCUAAUGAAGUGUCCAGUUCUGAGAAGUAUCACAAGCUGUCUGCUGCCAAUGUAAGCACCCAUUGGGGUACUCGGCGUCCUGAAGGGUUGCACCCAAGGUCCCCAAAUUGUUACCAGUUCAGCGGGACAGAAGAUGAGGGGUUGAAACUCUUUCCUUUGACUGAGGAUGGAAGGAGGUGCUGAUGCUGGAAUCAAAUUCUCACCUGAUGUAUACCGGCUUUACAACAAAUAGGAGUGCACAGAUUAAAAGCAUUUUCUAGCUCCUAUGUAUUUUAGCGUGUUUUCAUAUUGAGAGGUCAGACAUCACGCCAUUGUUCAAAAGAAAAAUAAAAACAAAAAACUUUUAACCCUAUCAAGGAGAAUUUGCAUGUCUAUUUUGUUAGUUGCAGAACUGAACAGUAUUAAGAGCACCUCAGCCACUCCUCAGGAAGGAGAACUGCACAAUUCUGAGCCACUGCAGCUGGAAUAAUGUACUUGAAUUCCUCCCAUUGACUGGCAGGCACACAGAAGGCAGAGAGCCCUUUAAACACACACACACACACACACACACACACACACACGCUCACAAUUCGAGGCAGUUCAAGCAACAUCAAACAGAUGAAAGCAGCCUGAACAUCAGGCCUCCAAUCCUGCCACCUCACACGCUCUGCUUACACUAUUUAAAUGCAGCUUAACAUUAGUUAGAAAAUGAUCAAACAAGCUGAUUGAAACUCAAAAUUUCCUAGCCCUGGAUUAACAAAUUUUGAUCAGAUGGAGAACUGGAAAUACUGGAAUUCGCCCUGAUAAAAAGUUGCACAGUUUUUGAAUUGAUAGCUGCUAUAGCCAUAACAUGAUUAAUAAAAAUCUUCCUGAACAUUAAUACUUGCUUCUAACUUCCUACAAAACACAAAAACAGGAAUGUAAUUGUUAGUCAUAUCUAGAAUUCUUAAAAUAAAUAAUAGUGCUUUCAUAUGCCUUACAUUUGUUUUCGAAUACUCAGAUGCACCAAGAAGAGCGUUUUUAAACUUUUAGUGCUUUAUGGAAAUUACAGCUUUCAAUUUCCUAAGGCUUGUUUCACCGUAAGAAGAAAUAAAAAAGCAAGCUGCUUGAUGGCUAUUUGAGGAACAACGUUCAAAACUGGCACCCUGUGUGAUAGAAGACUGCAAUAUAUGCAAUCAAGAGAUAGAUUCAAACAAUAAUAACUAGCUCAGGCUCCAGGGCAUAGCAGAAUGUGUCAUUUACUACAGACCUGAGCCUUUAAACAUCAGUCCUGUGAACAGUCCGGUGGAAAAUAGAUGGCACUGCUCACAUAAGUACAGACUGCUCAUACAGGGAAGUUUUCAAAGGCUCUGCAUUUUCUAAGGGGCUGAAAAAUGCAUAUUGAGUUUAGUAAAACUACAGAAAAAAAGAUCUCUUGUAACAAGCCAAAUUGUCAGUGAGAUGUCAGGGUUAAU
rnacentral:lncRNA from 1 species